rnacentral:antisense_RNA from 1 species
GCAUUGGCGCGGCUGGCGGCGGCAAUGAGCUCCCGCGAGUCGUCGCUGCGCAUGAAGAGGACCACGACGCGCGCGUUGGGCUUCUGCAACAGUUCUCGGAUCACGCUGUCGUAGGACUUGCGGAUGUUGGAGCGGCCCACCUUCUCCGCCGUAGCGAUGCAGAUGUUGCGCAGGCGAGCUUCCUGCUCGAAGGCCUCGAUCCCUGUCUCCCCGUAAUCACCCUCGGAGGCUACUGUGGACACGUAGGUCCAGUUGAAGAAGCGCAAGAUCUCAGCCAUGGCUUUGGCCUGGUAGAAGUCGGGGGGCACGGUCCUGGCAAAGUAAUCAUAGCGCGACUUGUCACUGAGUUUGGCACUGGUGGAUGCGUAGCUGAUCUGAGGGAUCUGGAAGAGCCGCAGCAGGACUAGGAGACUCUGGACAAAAUGGCCUAUACUGACUUAUUUAGGCAUAGGAAUAUUGCUUCACUCAGCCUGACUGAAAUGGCAGGUGUCACCAAACAGGUACUGUCAUUACUUCUAGAAUGGGUGCCUGGCUUCCACUGGAUUUAUGUACCACUAUGGAAGGCUUGGUGAUAGGAGCCCUGUCUAUGCAUAGCUUGACUUUGUUAAGAGGUUUCUGGCUAGCACUGGAGAGGCCAUCUCUUCUUGAUACAAUGAUUUUCUCAUCUUCAAGUUAUAUUA